AACGAACGCUGGCGGCAUGCCUAACACAUGCAAGUCGAACGAGACCUUCGGGUCUAGUGGCGCACGGGUGCGUAACGCGUGGGAACCUGCCCUUAGGUUCGGAAUAACUCCCCGAAAGGGGUGCUAAUACCGGAUAAUGUCUUCGGACCAAAGAUUUAUCGCCUUUGGAUGGGCCCGCGUUGGAUUAGCUAGUGGGUAGGGUAAAAGCCUACCAAGGCGACGAUCCAUAGCUGGUCUGAGAGGAUGAUCAGCCACACUGGGACUGAGACACGGCCCAGACCCUAAGGGAAGGAGGAGGGGGGAAAAAUUGAAAAAGGGGCGAAGCCUGAUCCAGCAAUGCCGCGUGAGUGAUGAAGGCCUUAGGGUUGUAAAGCUCUUUUACCCGGGAUGAUAAUGACAGUACCGGGAGAAUAAGCUCCGGCUAACUCCGUG
rnacentral:rRNA from 1 species